AUCGCACUCGCGAAAGUGUUUGAGCCGGAAGAAAUCGAAAAUAAAUUGUCUCAAUGCUCGAAUCCGGUCCUCAUCACGAGAUAAAUAGUCAAAGGGGGAUAUUGGGAUGCAGUUGAUCAUAUAAUUAAAAAGCGAAGAGCGAUCUUUCGGUCCUUUCAUCUAAUGUUGGAUGUUCAUUAAGAGGUUCAUUGAGAAAAUGCGCGAAUUUUCAAAAACAUAUCCUACCAAUUCUAGAACAUACGAGCACCUACGAGACUAGAUAGCACUUGGGAUUACUAGAAUUGCCUGAUGUGGAGGUAAAGCGUGAUAUACAAGAGGCAAGAAAAGAAACCUACAUUGUCGUAAACUAUGUGAGAAUUCAGCGAGUAAAAAUGUUGGAGGCAAGAAAAGAAACCUACAUUGUCAGCGUGGCUGCCCUUAUUGCAGUUCCGCCUGUUGCUAGGGCGUAACACUCAAGGAUAUACCACAUCGAUUUCUUAGAUAAUUCAGACGUCUGAAAAGUGCGAUUACGUUUAUGCGUUGAAUGGCUAGAUUAAUACAGGCGAGAUUUGCCUAAAGGAAUGACAAGCUUCUUUUGCGGCAGGAAAGCCUGAUUAAGCUUGGCUUAGAGGUUUCUUUAUAUCCUUUAAACCUGUUUUGUUUUGCUCCAUCGCCAGAAUGGAGCUAUUUGGAGCAAAAACCCAUCCUAUUGAAUAAAUAUUGCUCGAAACUGUUUAUUUUAUUCAAGAGAAAUUGGAAAUCACUACCGUAGAUAAAUAGAAUCUAAUAUAAAUAGUAAACGAAUCACGCAGGAAAUAGGUGCACGAAUAUGUGCACGAUAGGUCAAACAUUGAUAAAAAUCGACAAGUAUUCCGUAAGUUUGAAUUGGUGUUUGGCUUUCAGAAAUGCUAUUACAAAUACAAAAUACGAAUAUCAUGGCGAUUUAACCACUUCUCAGUGUUUCUAUUAUGAUAACCGUUUCUUAUUUAACACCAUUACUAAUUGCCCAGCUGUAAACCAAACACACUCUCUCUCAGCUAUUCAGUCAUUUCCUUUCUUGCAAGAAAACCCUCGACAUCACAGACGAUUAAGAUGAUUUAUCAGUUGCCUUUUGAGAAUAAUGUGUUUAAAUCGCAUAUCAGGCAAAUCUGUGUCUCUUGGCAGAAGCUGUUGAGAGGUCACGUUGAGAGUCCAUUAGUCAAAAGGCAAAGGAUUAUAGGAAAUACUUGUUUGCAAGAAUUCUGGCGCCUCGGGCAAUACAGCUCGUUGGAUGUGUUCUAGUUUUGAUAGCAUGUAGUUUCCCAUACGUCAAAUUCUUACCAAUCGAGGUUUCCUUUGGUGUAACCAAAGCACUUCACUUGUGCAGUAUAAUAGCGUGUAUUAAAAAAACGUUAAGCUUG